AUUGUCUGUGGCCAUGCUACCCUGAACACGUACAAUCUCCUCUGAUCUCAGAAACUAAGCAGGGUUGGGCCUAGUUAUUACUUAGAUGGCAGACAAUA
rnacentral:rRNA from 1 species